UACGUAGGGCGCAAGCGUUAUCCGGAAUUAUUGGGCGUAAAGAGCUCGUAGGCGGUUUGUCGCGUCUGCCGUGAAAGUCCGGGGCUCAACUCCGGAUGUGCGGUGGGUACGGGCAGACUAGAGUGAUGUAGGGGAGACUGGAAUUCCUGGUGUAGCGGUGAAAUGCGCAGAUAUCAGGAGGAACACCGAUGGCGAAGGCAGGUCUCUGGGCAUUAACUGACGCUGAGGAGCGAAAGCAUGGGGAGCGAACAGG
rnacentral:rRNA from 1 species